GGUGGAUUGGUCUAGUGGUAUGACGCCUCGUUUACAAUCGCCUUGAUUGAGCCGAGUAGGUCGCGAGUUCGAGCCUCGCAUUCACCU